rnacentral:rRNA from 1 species
AGAGAAUAGAUACCCUGGUAGUCCACGCCGUAAACGAUGGAUGCUAGCUGUUAUCAGUAUCGACCCUGGUAGUAGCGAAGCUAACGCGUUAAGCAUCCCGCCUGGGGAGUACGGUCGCAAGAUUAAAACUCAAAGGAAUUGACGGGGACCCGCACAAGCGGUGGAGCGUGUUGUUUAAUUCGACGCUAAGCGAAGAACCUUACCAAGGUUUGACAUCUCGGGAAAGUCUCCGAAAGGAGACCGUGCCUUCGGGAACCCGAUGACAGGUGUUGCAUGGCCGUCGUCAGCUCGUGUCGUGAGAUGUUUGGUUAAGUCCAUCAACGAGCGCAACCCUUGUAGUCUGUUGUAUUUCUCAGGCUAGACUGCCCGGUAACGGGGUAGGAAGGAGGGAUGAUGUCAGGUCAGUAUUACCCUUACACCUUGGGCCACAAACACGCUACAAUGGCCGAUACAAAGGGCUGCCAAGCAGCAAUGCGGAGCAAAUCCCAUCAAAGUCGGUCUCAGUUCGGAUUGUUGGCUG